GCCCACAACGAGGGCGCAACAGAGCGACCGGAGAAGCUGAGUAUAGACCCGAGCCUCCCCGCGGGGAAGGGAAGGAACACGUGCAACCCAGGGACAAACGCAACCUUCGUCACGACUUGGACAUCAGAACAGGUUGCAACAGGUCCAUGUAUGGAUCCAGAAGGUACUCUCUCACUCGAUGGGAUGGAGACCAACCUCGGUUUACCCACAACAACAUAGAUCGGGAAUCAUACCGGGCACAACCAACAGCCGAUCUCCGGCACCGUAUAGCCCGGGUCAUAGGCCCUGCCCACCCAGUGUACUUUACACAUGAGGUCAUGCAACACCAAUUCCUGAAAGGGUUUAAACCGAUGAACAUAGAACAAUACAACGGGACAAUGGACCCCGCCGUGUGGAUGGA
rnacentral:lncRNA from 1 species